AUGCCCGCCCCAUGCUGCAAGCCACCACCCACCCUCGUCUCCCUUCUCCUCGAUCUCCCAUUCCCUUAUGUGAUGCGCCAUCGUCGAUCUAUCCUCCCCUGCCCAAGAAUUUGGGCGCGAGCCUGGGAUGGGGCUCCCCGAGGUCCAGCGUCCCAUGUCCGGCGGCGCCGCCUCACCAGGCACGACCUGCGCCUUCACCCUAUCUCCGGACUCCUCCCUCUUCCCAGCAGCUCAAGCCAACAGCGACGGGCCGGUCAAGUUUGCCUACAAAGCGCGUGGCCAUGA
rnacentral:rRNA from 1 species